AGGCCACGACUGUUUACUAAAAACACAGAUAUCCGCAACGAAUAACUUCUUCGUAUGGAUGUUGAGCUUUGCCCGAUGCCGAUGCAUAAGCGAAAAAUCGGUGAAUGGCGGUCUUAACGUGAGGAUCCUAAGGUAGCAAAAUGACUUGUCCACUAAAUAUGGUCUUGACUGAAUAACGUAACGAUGGUCUCGCUGUCUCUACAAGUAUCUCAGUGAAAUUGAAUU
rnacentral:rRNA from 1 species